AGAGUUUGAUCAUGGCUCAGGAUGAACGCUAGCGGCAGGCUUAACACAUGCAAGUCGAGGGGCAGCGAGAUGUAGCAAUACAUUGUCGGCGACCGGCGCACGGGUGCGUAACGCGUAUGCAACCUACCAUAUACAGGAGGAUAACCAUUCGAAAGAAUGACUAAUACUCCAUAGUAUUAUUUUGAGGCAUCUUAGAAUAAUUAAAGAAUUUCGGUAUAUGCUGGGCAUGCGUGACAUUAGCUAGUUGGAGAGGUAACGGCUCACCAAGGCUACGAUGUCUAGGGGUUUUGAGAGGAAGAUCCCCCACACUGGUACUGAGACACGGACCAGACUCCUACGGGAGGCAGCAGUGAGGAAUAUUGGUCAAUGGACGGAAGUCUGAACCAGCCAUGCCGCGUGAAGGAAGACUGCCCUAUGGGUUGUAAACUUCUUUUAUGCGGGGAUAAACCUAUCUUUGCGAAGAUAGCUGAAGGUACCGUAUGAAUAAGCAUCGGCUAACUCCGUGCCAGCAGCCGCGGUAAUACGGAGGAUGCGAGCGUUAUCCGGAUUUAUUGGGUUUAAAGGGUGCGUAGGCGGACAAAUAAGUCAGUGGUGAAAUCACUCAGCUUAACUGAGUAACUGCCAUUGAUACUGUUAGUCUAGAAUGUAAAUGGAGUAGGCGGAAUGAAUCAUGUAGAGGUGACAUUCAUAGAUAUGAUUCAGAACACCGAUCGCGAAGGCAGCUUGCUAAGAUACAAUUGACGCUGAGGCACGAAAGCGUGGGUAGCAAACAGGAUUAGAUACCCUGGUAGUCCACGCUGUAAACGAUGAUAACUCGUUGUCGGCGAUACACAGUCGGUGACUGAGCGAAAGCGAUAAGUUAUCCACCUGGGGAGUACGAUCGCAAGGUUGAAACUCAAAGGAAUUGACGG
rnacentral:rRNA from 1 species